GUAAUUGGUUGAUCCACCAUGCGGGAUGAGUGGCUUUCAGAGCGCCUUUGCCUGCUUGGCUCCUUGUGGAUUCUGCUGGUGGAAGGGGAAGAGGCUGGACAAGCGGCUGCCAUCAUGGCCUGGUAUUUUUAAAGGUAGUAUCGGUAUCAAAUGGUAUUUGUGAUCCUAUUUCAUCACUACUCCACAACAUCUGUAGCUGCAGAGCCUGUCAGCGUAGCUCUUGCAGCAUUUUUAAGGGCUGACUAUAGCUUCUCGUUUAUGCAAACAAGUUUAACAGUCUCAGAGUUAUAACUUGUAUAUAUUGUUGGAAUGUAUAUUUAACAUACAUAGACAAAUCUGCUGUAAGUGGAAAAAAAAAAUGUGUAAAUAUGUACAUAACUCUGAACACAUACUGUUUUAGGUAAAUGGCCUUUGAGAAAUGCUGGACGAAUAAAUCCUAUUUGCAGUACUUUUGACUUAAA